rnacentral:lncRNA from 1 species
CUCCUUUCCUAAUUCUGGUGUGAGGAUCUCCCCAGUCUUUGAAACAUGCAUAAACCAAAGGUUCUCGUUUUUGUAUCCAAAGUAUGAUGAUGCCCAUGAUAUCGAACUAAGCAGAUAAUUAGCUUCCUUCUUCAAAUACAUCAGUAGAGGGGUUCGAGUCUGGAAGCAAGAGUGCUGAUUUGGCUAAAAAUUGCUUCAAAACUGAUGAACAAAGCAGCUGACUAGAAUUCCGUCUCGAAAAGAAAUCACUGAUCACAAGCGUUUUACAGGUGUGGAGGGAAGCUGACGAGUGGAGCGUGACUCGUGUCGUAAGGAGGCGUGCUGCUUCUUCUAUCAUUUCUCUUCCUCUUGCAUCUUCUUCUUCUCCUCCUCCACCUCCUCCUCUUCUCCUCCUCCUACGCUUGUUCCUCUUCCUCUUCCCCUUCCUCCUCCUCUCCUCCUCCUACGCUUGUUCCUCUUCCUCUUCCUUCUCCUCUCCCUUAUCUUCUUCUAGUUGAUGAGACUCGUCGACCCAAAAAGACAUCAGACGUUGAAUAUACAUGGACAAUGGACAGAGCGGGCAGGAUCAAGGCAUGGCAAGGCAGAACAGGCGAAAUGAGAGCAGCGCGCCCGUUAUAAACGAGAAACAGCAACGAAAACUAAAACAAAGGAAUACUAUCGACGUGACAAGUAAACCGAACGACCAAUGAACACAGGAGAGGAACGAGUAGGAGAGGAAGAAAAAGGAGAAGAAAAAAGGUAAUCAGAUGCACGGCAUCGAAGUGAUUGUUGGGAGAGAGUCUAGACAACAUGCAAGGUGAAUGAGGGAGAGAAAUAGAAAAACAAUGAUGAAAUACCGGGAAUAAAGCUCAAUUGAGAAAUUUUGGAUGAAAUAAGAGGGAGCUUCGAGGAUAAAAAUUCAGCACAACAAUGAAAUGAAUUAAUAAUUAUGAAACGAAAAUCCAAUUUAAAUACUGUAGAUUUUCGUUCAGUAAUAAAAUUAUUAAUUCAUUAGCAUUGCAUAAAUGCAAUUUCUCAGUAAAAAUCAAGUUUUAUACAUUAAUUUGUUUGAAUACUGAAACAAAAGAAGAAGAGUAGAAUCAGAGAAAAACUGCCAAUUAAAGGUAAAACAGGAAGCAGAAGGAAGGAAAACAUACAUGAGAGGAGAAAGAAAAAUGAUUAGGAAAAAAGAAGACAAAAUAAGAUAACAAUUAAUGGCAAAAGGAGAAAAUGUUUGAGAAUAUGUGAGUUGUGCAAAAGUAGGUAUAGAGAAGGAUGGCAUGAAGAGAAAAAGUAGUAAGGAGGAGGAGAAUUAGGAGGGAAUUAGGAGGAAUAGGAGACGAAAGUGAGAAGGAUCAGGAAGAAGAAUGAGAAGAAGAAGAAGAAGAACAACAACAACAACAACAGCGAGGAACAGGAGAAUAUUUGACAGCUGGUGAAGAAGAAGAAGAAGAAGAAGAAGAAAAGAAGAAGAAGAAGAAAAAGGAGAAGAAGAAUGUAGCGACACGCAACACAACGCCUUGAAGCUGACUGUUGACCGAUUGCAAUCCAAUCUUCCUCUCUUGCCCUUCUUCUAGCGCCAUUAAUUUGUUUGCAGGGCGGCCCCGAUUUCCUGCUUAAUGCAUUCCCACAGGCACGAGGCAGAAGGCAGACGGCACCAGUACAACAUCCUACAGCUCUUGUUGGAACUCUAUUGUAGUGUUUGUACAUUCAUGCAGAUGAACGGAGUUUCCUGAAAAGAAAUGUUGAUGUAAUCCGUGAGGGAGUAUAUUUCCAGCCAAUAAUGAUCCAGGAGCUGGAGACAGAGAAGUAUAAAAUAGUUUAUGGUGUUGCUUUGUCAAUCAGAGUUAGUCAUGAUGAUUUUGUGACACUAUCCAUGCCUUCAUCAAAUCUGGCCGAUGAAUAUCAUUUCAAUUCUUGAUGAAUUAUGCCAAAAUCUCUUAGAAUUCAACUGAUUGAACUACAUCAAAUACAUAAACUUAUGUAUUGGACAUGAAUAGGUCAAAUAUUCAUACUGAUCUAGUUAUCACUGAUUUUUGAAGUGGAUUACUCACUAAUCACCAAUUGCCAUAUACGGCAUAGUACCGACUCCAGCUUAAUUUUUUAAACAUUUGCAUGCAGUAGUGUAAUUCAAGUUUGAAAUUUCAUAAAAUCUCAAUUCAUUGAAAAAGCAGUGAUUUCUAAAACAAAUGAUGGUUUUAAUACUGAUAAAGUUAUUUUGUAAAAAAUUAGCUGUCACUGUCAUAAAAUCUGGAGAUAUGUGUCACAUUAACAAUCAUUUAUUCAGAAUUAAUCUAUUAAGUAACUCAUUCUUACAAUAAUUUUCAUAUUUAUAAUAAUUCAUUGUCAAUGCAUAACAUAAUGCCUCUUGCUUUGUGAACAGUAUUUGGAAAGGUGAAAUAAUACUUUUGACGUUUUUUUCCAAAGCAUUACAUAAUAUUUAUAAUGAUGAACAUAAUU